CGUGGGUAACCUGCCCUUAAGUCUGGGAUACCAUUUGGAAACAGAUGCUAAUACCGGAUAACAACAGAUGAUGCCUAUCAACUGUUUAAAAGAUGGUUCUGCUAUCACUCUUGGAUGGACCUGCGGUGCAUUAGCUAGUUGGUAGGGUAACGGCCUACCAAGGCGAUGAUGCAUAGCCGAGUUGAGAGACUGAUCGGCCACAUUGGGACUGAGACACGGCCCAAACUCCUACGGGAGGCAGCAGUC
rnacentral:rRNA from 1 species